rnacentral:rRNA from 1 species
UACGUAGGGUGCAAGCGUUAUCCGGAAUUAUUGGGCGUAAAGAGCUCGUAGGCGGUUUGUCGCGUCUGCCGUGAAAACUGGAGGCUCAACCUCCAGCCUGCGGUGGGUACGGGCAAACUAGAGUGCGGUAGGGGAGAUUGGAAUUCCUGGUGUAGCGGUGGAAUGCGCAGAUAUCAGGAGGAACACCGGUGGCGAAGGCGGGUCUCUGGGCCGAUACUGACGCUGAGGAGCGAAAGCGUGGGGAGCGAACAGG